AGUGCGCCUUUUUCAUUUUGCAUGUGUGUAUAUAUACAAGACACUUUUCCCUCAACUCUCACCACAAUCAUCUUUCUCAUUUACUUUAUCGAAACUGAAAUUAACAAAUCCUAGCUAGAACUGAAGUAGCUAGUCAUGAAGCAAAGUAUAUGUUUUGUUGUAUUUCUUCUCCUGCUUGUUUCCCUUUCACCAGCAUCUUCCCGUUUCUUAUCAGUCAGUGAAGUGAAAGAGGAGGUAAAGUAUGGAAAAGUGACCCAACUUGCAUAUUCUCUUGAUGACCAGAUGGAAACCUUCGAUUCCCUGAAUAAACUGAUGGGGAUAGAGGGAUGUGAAGAUGAAGAUGAAGAAUGCUCUAAGAGAAGGAUAAUGGCAGAAGCUCACCUGGAUUACAUCUACACUCAGAACCAUGAUCACCCUUGAGAUCAAUAUUAAUCCUCUUGGGAGUUAGCUGAUUCAGGUGCUUCAGGUCCCGCUAGCGAGUGUUGAUCCUUCCAGCUCAGGCGAAUUCAAAGAUUCUCUAGGUAGAUGCCGGCAUUUGCAUCCCAGAGCUUCUCCCCUUAUCUUAUUUUCUAUGUUUUAGCUCUCUAUUAGACUAUGUAGACUCUUUAGACUUGUAGAAUAUUGAUAGAUGUUCAUGAUUGGUGACACC